AACGCCUUCCCUGGGUAAAAAUCGUUUCCUUGCCUUCCCCACGAAGCCAACCUGCCUUCCUCCAUGAAUCUGGCCUUCCUCCGCUCGUCCUCCCCCAUCUCCUUCCUCCAUGAAUCUGGCCACACGCUGCCCUUGCCUCUUCCCUUCCGGUCCUUUCAUCAACGACCACCUGUAGGUAAAGGAGAUGACGUCCUGGAUUCCGCCUCAUCCUCUUUCCAAUCCGACGCCUCCACACACCCGCUCCCUCGCCAUCGGCGGCGCCGCCGCAUGCCGGUCCUCCGUGCGUCGCCUCCUCUUCCUCCACGACCCCUCCACGUACUCGCAGACGACGGCAGCCGGAACCGCCCCCGUCGCCCUCGUCACCUCCACUUGUUCCACGAUCUGGCCAAGCCACCGAGAGAAAGCUGUUCGCGGUGUUGUAGCGCUGCUGGGGAGCUGCGCGUUAUGAUGAACAUCUGCCUCCUCCUCCGUGUCAUGCCCUGGUACCUAUCUUUGGUUUUGAUUGAUGCCUCACAUUUCUGUUAGAGCGUUGGUAAGUAGCAGAUUUCUUGGGAGUUCAGGUAGCUGCUUUGUCUCCAACACCCAACCCCAUUUAUUUUAUUUAGGUCUUGAUGCUAUGGACAUUGUUUGGUGUCGCUUGGAUUCAGACCUGCUGUAUUGGGCACAAAAAAUAUAAGAUCACACAUGGACACAUUGCAAGUGUGGAUAGAAAUAUAUUGGUGGUGCAUUGUCACAUGUAUGCUACAUCUGUAAUCGGAGAUUCAGGUCAUACCAGUUUUUUGGUCUCUUCAUUUGUGAUACUUUUUUCCUUUAGGAAGUCAUUGCCUUUUUGCCAAGAAUUCAUCACUGAAAGAGCUGAAGUUGAGAUCUCCGUUUAAAGCAGUGAUUAAUUACUGACCGUAAAAUAAUUUGUCAUCGUGAGAUUCUUCAACUGUCGGUUCGCCAUCAAUUUUAGGAUUUAACCAACUAAAAUGAAACCAAGAUACAGUUGCUGCUGCACUUAUGAGCAAAUUGUACAGGGUAAAGACAUGCAGCUGCUCAAGAACAGGGGAAGGACCAAUCUGCUGUUUCGGUUGUUUAUGUGCGCUGAAGAUUGUUCAUACCCGUAUCCCGAAGAUAGAAGGCAAAAUAAUCCAAUUCAUCACAUUUGAAUUUCCUAAUCCAACUUCAGUAGUUAAACACUUUAAGUUGUUCUCCCUAAAGUUACAUUCUUGCCAGUUAAUCUCAUGGCCUAACCUUUGUGAUCAAAUUGUCUCCAGAGUUAAGUACCCAGAUCGUGUAACUUUAAUACGAGGAAAUCAUGAGCAGGCAGAUUACACAAGUUUAUGACUUCUAUGAUGAGUGUCUUCAUGAAUACGGCUCGGUGAAUGUCUGGAGAUGUUGCACAGAAAUAUUCGACUAUUUAAGUUUGUCUGCACUUACUGAGAACAAAAUCUUCAAUGUCCAUGGAGGCCUUUCCCCUGCUAUUACGGCAGUGAAUCAGGCUUUAUUUCACUUGGAGAAAAGUAAUCAGGAGCUCAAGGGUGACCUCAAGUACAUGUACGUCUACACUGCAAUGUAAGUAGAUAAUCCAGAUGGAUGUCGUUGGGAACAGGAAGGCAGUUGUGAUCUAUGUGCCAUACUGUCUGCGCAAGGCCUUCAGGAAGAUUCACGAUGGAUUAGUUUGCUCUUUUCAUUAUCCAGUCUUCCUGUUUUAGAGCAAAUAAAUCAGAUUUAUUGGUAGAUUAAUUUUUAGGCGUCUGCAUUGUUGUGAUGCUCAUGGUUGCUGAUUUCAGUCUGUAUUAACCAGUUCUUGUGUUGACUGGAGGAAAGGUUGGCCGUAUCAGUCAUCCAUCUUGUAAGAUUGUCACCUCUCUGUUAAUAUAUACUCCCUCGGUCCAAAAAUAAGUGUCUCAACUUUAUACUAGUUUUAGUACAAAGUUGUACUAAGCUUGGGACACUUAUUUUGGGACGGAGAGAGUACCUAUUAGCUUGCUCUGCUUUAUGAGUAAACACUUUUUCAACAAUCGUCGCAUGAGUUGACCAGCAUUUCCAUUCCA